UGGCUCAGGAUGAACGCUGGCGGCGUGCCUAAUACAUGCAAGUCGAGCGAAUGGAUUGAGAGCUUGCUCUCAAGAAGUUAGCGGCGGACGGGUGAGUAACACGUGGGUAACCUGCCCAUAAGACUGGGAUAACUCCGGGAAACCGGGGCUAAUACCGGAUAACAUUUUGAACUGCAUGGUUCGAAAUUGAAAGGCGGCUUCGGCUGUCACUUAUGGAUGGACCCGCGUCGCAUUAGCUAGUUGGUGAGGUAACGGCUCACCAAGGCAACGAUGCGUAGCCGACCUGAGAGGGUGAUCGGCCACACUGGGACUGAGACACGGCCCAGACUCCUACGGGAGGCAGCAGUAGGGAAUCUUCCGCAAUGGACGAAAGUCUGACGGAGCAACGCCGCGUGAGUGAUGAAGGCUUUCGGGUCGUAAAACUCUGUUGUUAGGGAAGAACAAGUGCUAGANNNUANUUGAAUAAGCUGGCACCUUGACGGUACCUAACCAGAAAGCCACGGCUAACUACGUGCCAGCAG
rnacentral:rRNA from 2 species